CAGCAGCCACGGUAAUACGUAGGGUGCGAGCGUUAAUCGGAAUUACUGGGCGUAAAGCGUGCGCAGGCGGUUGUGUAAGACAGGUGUGAAAUCCCCGGGCUUAACCUGGGAGCUGCGCUUGUGACUGCACAGCUAGAGUAUGGCAGAGGGGGGUGGAAUUCCACGUGUAGCAGUGAAAUGCGUAGAGAUGUGGAGGAACACCGAUGGCGAAGGCAGCCCCCUGGGCCAAUACUGACGCUCAUGCACGAAAGCGUGGGGAGCAAACAGGAUUAGAUACCCGCGUAGUCCCUGUCUCUUAUAC
rnacentral:rRNA from 1 species